AGAGUUUGAUCAUGGCUCAGAUUGAACGCUGGCGGCAGGCUUAACACAUGCAAGUCGAACGGUAACAGAACUAGCUUGCUAGUUGCUGACGAGUGGCGGACGGGUGAGUAACGCGUAGGAAUCUACCGAAUAGUGGGGGACAACAGUUGGAAACGGCUGCUAAUACCGCAUACGCCCUACGGGGGAAAGGAGGGGAUCUUCGGACCUUUCGCUAUUUGAUGAGCCUGCGUGAGAUUAGUUAGUUGGUGGGGUAAUGGCUCACCAAGGCGACGAUCUCUAGCUGGUCUGAGAGGAUGAUCAGCCACACUGGGACUGAGACACGGCCCAGACUCCUACGGGAGNCAGCAGUGGGGAAUAUUGCACAAUGGGGGAAACCCUGAUGCAGCCAUGCCGCGUGUGUGAAGAAGGCCUUCGGGUUGUAAAGCACUU
rnacentral:rRNA from 1 species